GCGUUAUCCGGGUCCACUGGGUUUAAAGGGUGCGUAGGCGGGCAGGUAAGUCCGUGGUGAAAUCUCUGAGCUUAACUCAGAUACUGCCAUGGAUACUAUUUGUCUUGAAUGUUGUGGAGGUAAGCGGAAUAUGUCAUGUAGCGGUGAAAUGCUUAGAUAUGACAUAGAGCACCAAUUGCGAAGGCAGCUUACUACACAAAUAUUGACGCUGAGGCACGAAAGCGUG
rnacentral:rRNA from 1 species